ACGAACGCUGGCGGCGUGCUUAACACAUGCACGUCGCACGGAAAGGCCCUGCUUUUGUGGGGUGCUCGAGUGGCGAACGGGUGAGUAACACGUGAGUAACCUGCCCUUGACUUUGGGAUAACUUCAGGAAACUGGGGCUAAUACCGGAUAGGAGCUCCUGCUGCAUGGUGGGGGUUGGAAAGUUUCGGCGGUUGGGGAUGGACUCGCGGCUUAUCAGCUUGUUGGUGGGGUAGUGGCUUACCAAGGCUUUGACGGGUAGCCGGCCUGAGAGGGUGACCGGCCACAUUGGGACUGAGAUACGGCCCAGACUCCUACGGGAGGCAGCAGUGGGGAAUAUUGCACAAUGGGCGGAAGCCUGAUGCAGCAACGCCGCGUGCGGGAUGACGGCCUUCGGGUUGUAAACCGCUUUCGCCUGUGACGAAGCGUGAGUGACGGUAAUGGGUAAAGAAGCACCGGCUAACUACGU
rnacentral:rRNA from 1 species